CGGACCGGCGCACGGGUGCGUAACGCGUAUGCAACCUACCAUCAACAGGGGGAUAACACUGAGAAAUUGGUACUAAUACCCCAUAAUAUCUCAUGCGGCAUCGCAUGGGGUUGAAAACUCCGGUGGUUGAUGAUGGGCAUGCGUUGUAUUAGCUGGUUGGUGAGGUAACGGCUCACCAAGGCGACGAUACAUAGGGGGACUGAGAGGUUAACCCCCCACAUUGGUACUGAGACACGGACCAAACUCCUACGGGAGGCAGCAG
rnacentral:rRNA from 1 species